AACUAGUUUAUCCUGCCAGUAGUGAUAUGCACGUGUAAGUACAAGCGAUACCAGAAAGUGAAACCGCAAAUGGAUCAUUAAAUCAGUUACGGUCCCCUUGGCGGUUGAGAUUACUUGGAUAACUGUGGUAAUCCAAGAGCUAAUACACGCCCGGGAGCUCCGAUCCCGCGAGGGAGAUGAGUGCUUUUAUUAGACCAAGACCAGCCCGCGUUCGCGCGGCAGCGACUGGUGACUCUGUAUAACCUAGGGCGGAUCGCACGGGCUCGUCCAGGCGACGCGUCUAUUGUGUGUCUGCCUUGUCAACUGUCGAGGGUAGGUCAUGCGCCUACCAUGGUCGUGACGGGGAAUCAGGGUUCGAUUCCCGAGAGGGAGCCUGAGAAACGGCUACCACAUCCAAGGAAGGCAGCAGGCAUGCAAAUUACCCACUCCCGGCCCGGGGAGGCAGUGACGAAAAAUAGCGAUACGGGACUCUUUCGAGACCCCAAGAUCGCAAGGUAAAGAGUGUUCGAAAGGAACGAUUGGAGGGCAAGUCUGGUGUCAGCAGCUGCAAUAACUCCAGCUCCGAUAGCGUAAGCUAAAUUUGUUGCGAAUGAAAAGCUCGUAGUCGGAUCUCAACCCGAGACGGUGGGGUGCGUCAGCGCCCUUUCCGGUCUCUCGGGCUCUGGCUGUUUUCCGAACCACGAUCUUAACCGGUCGUGGUGCGGGGUCCGGUCAGUUUACCUUGCAGAAACUGAAGUGCUCAAAGCAGGCCUGUCGCC